CUUGCAUAGCAGAACAUUGCUGUAACACAUUUAAAGGCCUUCAAAAUCACUUACUGUCUAAACAUUCUAGGAUACGUAACAAUAACCCUAAUGUUUUAAUUGGAAUUCAGAUAUGCAUAUUAUCUUGGAGAGGUGGUAAUAUAAAAAAAAAAAAAAAGAUGCUUGGCAGAAGCGAGAUGUAUUGGGUUUUUAAUUUGAAAGCAUUGGAGUCAAAUGGCCUCAAUGCACAAUUCGAC